AUUGUCUUGAACAACCCACAAUUCUGGUUUGCUUCAUUACCUUAUUUUUUUAGAAAAUUAAAUUCUAAAUGCUAAUCAUUCUUUAGCUUUUAACCUACAUGCACCAAACACAGGUCCCAUUCCCUGGUGCCCAGCCCUCAUAGCAGAUUAUUGAUCCAACAACCCAGAACCAGACACGCUGGGCGCAGUCGUGACGCAGGCCGAGCCACACGUAUUCAGUGGAGGCGUUUUGAGUCACUUCCUUCACCCAGAGCUGCAUCUCCUCGGUGCGCACUGACACCAGGUCAUGAUGAUGGUUCCUGCAGUAUGUCAGAGCUUCCCACCAGGUCAGAUUCUCCUUAAACAGGAUCAGUUUAUCUGGAUAAAAGAGGCAGCAUUCAAUAAAAGCUAAAGUGAACAGUUACAAUCCAA